AGAGUUUGAUCAUGGCUCAGAUUGAACGCUGGCGGCAGGCCUAACACAUGCAAGUCGAGCGGUAACAGAAAGUAGCUUGCUACUUUGCUGACGAGCGGCGGACGGGUGAGUAAUGCUUGGGAACAUGCCUUGAGGUGGGGGACAACAGUUGGAAACGACUGCUAAUACCGCAUAAUGUCUACGGACCAAAGGGGGCUUCGGCUCUCGCCUUUAGAUUGGCCCAAGUGGGAUUAGCUAGUUGGUGAGGUAAUGGCUCACCAAGGCAACGAUCCCUAGCUGGUUUGAGAGGAUGAUCAGCCACACUGGAACUGAGACACGGUCCAGACUCCUACGGGAGGCAGCAGUGGGGAAUAUUGCACAAUGGGCGAAAGCCUGAUGCAGCCAUGCCGCGUGUGUGAAGAAGGCCUUCGGGUUGUAAAGCACUUUCAGUCAGGAGGAAAGGGUGUGAGUUAAUACCUCAUAUCUGUGACGUUACUGACAGAAGAAGCACCGGCUAACUCCGUGCCAGCAGCCGCGGUAAUACGGAGGGUGCGAGCGUUAAUCGGAAUUACUGGGCGUAAAGCGUACGCAGGCGGUUUGUUAAGCGAGAUGUGAAAGCCCCGGGCUCAACCUGGGAACUGCAUUUCGAACUGGCAAACUAGAGUGUGAUA
rnacentral:rRNA from 1 species